GUGAAUAAUAUGGAUAGUAUUGUUUUGUCGUUAAAUAUUUUUAAUGGCGGCAAGUAUACAAAGAAGCUAUUAUGGAUUCACAGCUAUAUAUCAAAGAGAGAAUAAAACUUUUAAUUUUGAAAUCACACCUUUUAUUAUUUUUUUCUUUUGUUUUUAAUCAUUAUUCUUUAAUGAUGAUAAUAAUAGGAUUAAAAAAGUAAAUGGUCUGUUAGUAGAUGAACUCUAAUUAGAAAUUAAUUAAAAAAAACGAAGUGAAUUGAAAUAUCUUAUUAACUUCAGGAAAACAAAUCAAACGAGAUUCUGCAAGUAGUGAGAAUGAAAGAGGAAUAGCCUAAUUAAGUAAAAUGGAGUACAGAUCUGUUUGAAUAUAAAGGGGAACCUUCCUCUAAGGCUAAAUAUGAUAUAUAAGCGAUAGUUGGAAGUACCGUGAGGGAAAGGAUUGAAAUAGUAGUUUUAUAAGCAGCUCGAGCGAAAUUUAAAUAAACAAUGAGAGCGUACCUUUUGCAUAAUGGGUCAGCAAGUUAAUUUUAGACGCGAGCAGUUAAGCGAAGAUAAACCAAUUAUGAAAUAAUGAUAUAGUAUCUAAGAUUAGACCCGAAGCCUAGUGAUCUUACCAUGAUCAGGGUUAUAAAAGCCCGAACGGUUUAUCGUUGUAAAGAUAUCCGAUGAAUUGUGGUAUGUUGGUGAAAGAUAAUACUGACUAGGAUAGCUGGUACAUGUUAUCUGUAGACAUUGGGGGAUCGUGAAGAUUCUAUCAGUGAGUAUUUGUUCUCGGAAGGGCUAAGAUUAAUAUUGAAUAAUCAGACAUAGUACGCAAAGGUUGUAUGUCUAAAGGGAAACAGCCCAGAACAAGAGUUAAUAAGGUUCCAAAAUUAUUGUUAAGUGAAAUAAAAGUAGUAUUUGUCCCAGACAACCAGGAAAUAGGCUUAGAAGCGGCCAUUUUUUGAAGACCUCGUAGCAGAGCACUGGUUUGUAGACUGUUUAUAUGAUUUACAAGGAUAAAGCACUGAAAAUUUAACGGAUCUAAACAAUAUACCGAAACCUUGUCCAUAUAUAUUUAUAUAUCAUAGUUAUAUAUUGUAUAUAUGGGGUAGCGGAACAUUGGGCUAACCUAAGAUUUUUUCUUUAUAAGACUUAAUAUCAGGUAACCCAAGUGAGAAUGCUGACAUGAGUAACGAUAAAGGGAAUAACUCCCUCGCCUAAAGCUUAUGGUAUUUACUUAAAGUAACGGCCUCUAAGUUUAUGUAGUAGAGUAAUAAAAUAAAGUAACCAAGAUAAAGUAAAUGAAACGACGUAUUUUUGUUGUUUCACUAACUUUAUAACGCUGUUUUAGUGUAUUACCUAGUCCUUUAGGAUUAAACGAUGAGCAAAUCUAGAGAGUUUACUGGCAAAUAACAUUUAUGCACUUAUAUAUAUAAUAUGUAUAACUAGUGUAUAAAGAAGGUGAUAAAUGUUCUGGAAAACUGUAAACUCGACAUGAAACUGCAGAAAUGUAUAGUGUGAGUAGUAGAGAGAAAACACGAAAGGAAUUAAACGUUCCAUCAUGUCUAUAUCAACCGUACCUAAAUACUAUCGCAAGUAAGCAAGUAGAGAAUACGAAGGCGUUCGAGUGAACAAUCAUUAAGGAACUCGGCAAAUUAACUCUGUCGUAACUUAGGGAUAAGGUGGGCCAUUCCACUUGAUUAAUAUCAAGGUUGGAAGAGGAGGCACAGAAUGGUGUUGUACGACUGUUUAAUUAAAACAAAGCAUGCUGCAAAGAAAAAAAAAUUCGAAGUAUAGUGUGUGAACUCUGCCCUAUGACGGCUGGGUAUACUAUUUGCUUAAUUGACUAACAUAGGUUAGGCUUUGAAGGAAACCCCGUUCAAUGGCGGCUUUACAGAUGAGAGUCCUAAGGUAGCGUAAUACCUUGGCCGUUAAAUGCGGUCUUGCAUGAAUGACGUAACGAUACAACAGCUGUCUCGAUGAUUGGCUCGGUGAAAUUGGAAUAACAGUGCAGAUACUGUUUACCUGUAGAUAGACGAGAAGACCCUAUGCAGCUUUACUGUUGCUAGUUAUUGGGUAUGAUAUACCAAGUUUUAGCGUAUAAGGUAGUUGAUUUGACAACAUUGUAACACCUUUACUUAUGGGGAUCAUAUUUAAUUACCACAAGUGGUGGAACAAUUGCUGGGUGGCAGUUUAUGCGGGGCACAGAUCCCAUAAAAAGUACCUGGGAGUAUCCAAAUUUUAAUUCUAAUAUAAAACAUAUAUGCAAGCAUAUUAAAGAAAAAUUCUGCUACAGCAGUAGCCUGCUAUAUUUUUUAUUAUUAGUUUGCUAUUAGUGAUAAUUAAUUUAUUACUAAUCUAAUUAUUUAUCUAUUUAAGUUAGAACUUUUUUUUUUACCAAGUAGGAUUUUAACUAUCUAAAUAUAUAGAUGUAAUUAAAACAUUAUAUAGUUAUAAUAUAAUAUAAAAUAUUAUAUAAUAUACUAGGAAUGUUUUUUGUUGUUAACUAGUUUAUCUAUAAAUAAAUAUGAGAUAACUAGCUAAAUGAUUAUUAUUUUACUUACAAAGUUUAACGGCUUAAUCUUGCUUUACUGUUUGACUUACAUGUCUUUCAGUCGCGUAAGCGGGGCAUAUGAUCACAAGAUGCAGAAAGGAAAGGUCUUGGAUUAUUGAAAAAGCUACGCUAGGGAUAACAGGCUAAUUGCGCCAGAGAGUUCAUAUUGAGUGCGCAGUUUGGCACCUCGAUGUCGGCUUAGCUCAUCCACAUGGAUGCAACAACCAUGAAGGGUUCGACUGUUCGUCGAUUAAAGAGUUACACGAGCUGGGUUAAAUACGUCGUGAGACAGUAUGGUUUCUAUCUUCUAGAGGAAAUUAGAAUAAAAUAAGGAUAGCCCCUUGUACGUAAGUAAAUGGGUAUAUUAACCUCUGGUUUACCUGUUGUUUAUGUUCCUAUAUUAAUAUAAAUUAUAAGUUUAUAUAAAAAGUACAUUAUUUUUAAUAUGGCUUAUUUUGGGGUUUUACUUUUCACUAUAGUAAUUUUUAACAUAGGCACGGCAGGAAGGCUAUGUUAGUUAAUGAUAAGAGCUGAAUACAUAUAGGCACGAAACUUACCUUUAGAUAUUCUUAAAUAAACGUAGUUUAAUACUACGAUUUUAGGUCCUUAUAGUUUAAAUAUGAAAAUAUUAAACAAGUAUAAUUUAAUAAAAUUAAUCUGGGUUUAAUA
rnacentral:rRNA from 1 species